UUUUAUUUGAGAGUUUGAUCCUGGCUCAGGAUGAACGCUGGCGGCGUGCCUAACACAUGCAAGUUGAGCGAUUUACUUCGGUAAAGAGCGGCGGACGGGUGAGUAACGCGUGGGUAACCUACCCUGUACACACGGAUAACAUACCGAAAGGUAUGCUAAUACGGGAUAAUAUAUUUGAGAGGCAUCUCUUGAAUAUCAAAGGUGAGC
rnacentral:rRNA from 1 species